rnacentral:rRNA from 1 species
AGAAUCAACGCUGGCGGCGUGCCUAACACAUGCAAGUCGAACGAGAAAGUGGAGCAAUCCAUGAGUAAAGUGGCGACCGGGUGAGUAACACGUGACUAACCUACCUUCGAGUGGGGGAUAACCUAGGGAAACCUGGGCUAAUACCGCAUAACAUCUUUGGAUCGGAAGAACUGGAGAUCAAAGGAGCAAUUCGCUUGAAGAGGGGGUCGCGGCUGAUUAGCUAGUUGGCGGGGUAAUGGCCCACCAAGGCUUUGAUCGGUAGCCGG